UCUUGGUCAUUUAGAGGAAGUAAAAGUCGUAACAAGGUCUCCGUUGGUGAACCAGCGGAGGGAUCAUUACCGAGUUUACAACUCCCAAACCCCUAUGUGAACGUUACCAAACUGUUGCCUCGGCGGGAUUUCUGCCCCGGGCGCGUCGCAGCCCCGGACCAAGGCGCCCGCCGGAGGACCAAUUUACAAACUCUUUUGUAUAUCCCAUCGCGGAUUCUUUACAUUCUGAGCUUUCUCGGCGCUCCUAGCGAGCGUUUCGAAAAUGAAUCAAAACUUUCAACAACGGAUCUCUUGGUUCUGGCAUCGAUGAAGAACGCAGCGAAAUGCGAUAAGUAAUGUGAAUUGCAGAAUUCAGUGAAUCAUCGAAUCUUUGAACGCACAUUGCGCCCGCCAGUAUUCUGGCGGGCAUGCCUGUCCGAGCGUCAUUUCAACCCUCGAACCCCUCCGGGGGGUCGGCGUUGGGGAUCGGCACUUACCUGCCGGCCCCGAAAUACAGUGGCGGUCUCGCCGCAGCCUCUCCUGCGCAGUAGUUUGCACACUCGCACCGGGAGCGCGGCGCGUCCACGGCCGUAAAACAACCCAAACUUCUGAAAUGUUGACCUCGGAUCAGGUAGGAAUACCCGCUGAACUUAAGCAUAUCAAUAAGCGGAGGAA
rnacentral:rRNA from 1 species